AGUGAACGCUGGCGGUAGGCCUAACACAUGCAAGUCGAACGGCAGCACAGAGGAGCUUGCUCCUUGGGUGGCGAGUGGCGGACGGGUGAGGAACACAUCGGAAUCUACUCUGUCGUGGGGGAUAACGUAGGGAAACUUACGCUAAUACCGCAUACGACCUACGGGUGAAAGCAGGGGACCUUCGGGCCUUGCGCGAUUGAAUGAGCCGAUGUCGGAUUAGCUAGUUGGCGGGGGAAAGGCCCACCAAGGCGACGAUCCGUAGCUGGUCUGAGAGGAUGAUCAGCCACACUGGAACUGAGACACGGUCCAGACUCCUACGGGAGGCAGCAGUGGGGAAUAUUGGACAAUGGGCGCAAGCCUGAUCCAGCCAUACCGCGUGGGUGAAGAAGGCCUUCGGGUUGUAAAGCCCUUUUGUUGGGAAAGAAAUCCAGCUGGCUAAUACCCGGUUGGGAUGACGGUACCCAAAGAAUAAGCACCGGCUAACUUCGUGCCAGCCGCCGCAGUAA
rnacentral:rRNA from 1 species